GUCGAACGCUAGCGGCAUGCCUUACACAUGCAAGUCGAACGGCAGCACGGGGGCAACCCUGGUGGCGAGUGGCGAACGGGUGAGUAAUGCAUCGGAACGUGCCCAUCGAUGGGGGAUAACUGCGCGAAAGCGUUGCUAAUACCGCAUACGACCUACGGGUGAAAGCAGGGGACCGCAAGGCCUUGCGUCGAUGGAGCGGCCGAUGCCGGAUUAGCUAGUUGGUGAGGUAAAGGCUCACCAAGGCGACGAUCCGUAGCUGGUCUGAGAGGACGACCCAGCCACACUGGGACUGAGACACGGCCCAGACUCCUACGGGAGGCAGCAGUGGGGAAUAUUGGACAAUGGGCGCAAGCCUGAUCCAGCAAUGCCGCGUGUGGGAAGAAGGCCUUCGGGUUGUAAACCACUUUUGGCGGGAAAGAAAUGGUCUGUGCUAAUACCACGGAUUGAUGACGGUACCCGCAGAAUAAGCACCGGCUAACUACGUG
rnacentral:rRNA from 1 species